rnacentral:rRNA from 1 species
CAGUAGCCACGGGAAUACGUAGGGUGCGAGCGUUAAUCGGAAUUACUGGGCGUAAAGCGUGCGUAGGCGGUGAGUUAAGUCUGCUGUGAAAUCCCCGGGCUCAACCUGGGAAUGGCAGUGGAUACUGGCUCGCUAGAGUGUGUCAGAGGAUGGUGGAAUUCCCGGUGUAGCGGUGAAAUGCGUAGAGAUCGGGAGGAACAUCAGUGGCGAAGGCGGCCAUCUGGGACAACACUGACGCUGAGGCACGAAAGCGUGGGGAGCAAACAGGAUUAGAUACCCCCGUAGUCCCUGUCUCUUAUAC